rnacentral:rRNA from 1 species
AGCGAACGUUAGCGGCGGGCUUAACACAUGCAAGUCGAGCGAGAAAGUGGCUUCGGCCAUCAGUAAAGCGGCGGACGGGUGAGUAACACGUAGGUAAUCUUCCUUCGAGCGGGGGACAACGUUCCGAAAGGGACGCUAAUACCGCAUACGUUUCUCGGGACCUCGGUCCUGGGAAGGAAAGCUAGGUCGCAAGAUCCGGCACUCGAUGAGGAGCCUGCGUCGCAUCAGCUAGUUGGUGGGGAAUGGCCUACCAAGGCGAAGACGCGUAGCUGGUCUGAGAGGAUGAUCAGCCACACUGAAACUGAGACACGGUUCAGACUCCUACGGGAGGCAGCAGUGGGGAAUAUUGGACAAUGGGCGCAAGCCUGAUCCAGCCACGCCGCGUGAGUGAUG